GACGAACGCUGGCGGCGUGCCUAAUACAUGCAAGUCGAACGAACCGCGACUGAGUGCUUGCACUUGGUCAAGGUGAGUGGCGAACGGGUGAGUAACACGUGGGUAACCUACCUCAUAGUGGGGGAUAACAGUCGGAAACGACUGCUAAUACCGCAUAGGACAUGGGAUCUCAUGAUUCCGUGAGGAAAGGUGGCGCAAGCUAUCGCUAAGAGAUGGACCCGCGGUGCAUUAGCUAGUUGGUAGGGUAACGGCCUACCAAGGCAAUGAUGCAUAGCCGACCUGAGAGGGUGAUCGGCCACAUUGGGACUGAGACACGGCCCAAACUCCUACGGGAGGCAGCAGUAGGGAAUCUUCCGCAAUGGACGCAAGUCUGACGGAGCAACGCCGCGUGAGUGAAGAAGGUCUUCGGAUCGUAAAGCUCUGUUGUUAGAGAAGAACGGCGCAUAGAGUAA
rnacentral:rRNA from 1 species